rnacentral:lncRNA from 1 species
AGUAAUUUCCAUUUCCGAACAAAAGGAAUAUUUCCUUUUUUAUAUGAUUUCCUUUUCCGAAAAAUGGAAAUAUAUAGCCGUUAAAAAAAAAAAAGGAAUGGAAAAAUAUAAAACGUGCACGGACACUAAACAAAAAGGAAAUAAUCCUUUUGCUGGCUGCGUUCAGUUUUGGAAAAUAGAAGUUACUCUUUUUAUAUUUAUAGUAGAUGUUG